rnacentral:rRNA from 1 species
GAUUGAACGCUGGCGGCAGGCCUAACACAUGCAAGUCGAGCGGAUGAAGGGAGCUUGCUCCUGGAUUCAGCGGCGGACGGGUGAGUAAUGCCUAGGAAUCUGCCUGGUAGUGGGGGAUAACGUCCGGAAACGGGCGCUAAUACCGCAUACGUCCUGAGGGAGAAAGUGGGGGAUCUUCGGACCUCACGCUAUCAGAUGAGCCUAGGUCGGAUUAGCUAGUUGGUGGGGUAAAGGCCUACCAAGGCGACGAUCCGUAACUGGUCUGAGAGGAUGAUCAGUCACACUGGAACUGAGACACGGUCCAGACUCCUACGGGAGGCAGCAGUGGGGAAUAUUGGACAAUGGGCGAAAGCCUGAUCCAGCCAUGCCGCGUGUGUGAAGAAGGUCUUCGGAUUGUAAAGCACUUUAAGUUGGGAGGAAGGGCAGUAAGUUAAUACCUUGCUGUUUUGACGUUACCAACAGAAUAAGCACCGGCUAACUUCGUGCCAGCAGCCGCGGUAAUACGAAGGGUGCAAGCGUUAAUCGGAAUUACUGGGCGUAAAGCGCGCGUAGGUGGUUCAGCAAGUUGGAUGUGAAAUCCCCGGGCUCAACCUGGGAACUGCAUCCAAAACUACUGAGCUAGAGUACGGUAGAGGGUGGUGGAAUUUCCUGUGUAGCGGUGAAAUGCGUAGAUAUAGGAAGGAACACCAGUGGCGAAGGCGACCACCUGGACUGAUACUGACACUGAGGUGCGAAAGCGUGNGGAGCAAACAGGAUUAGAUACCCUGGUAGUCCACGCCGUAAACGAUGUCGACUAGCCGUUGGGAUCCUUGAGAUCUUAGUGGCGCAGCUAACGCGAUAAGUCGACCGCCUGGGGAGUACGGCCGCAAGGUUAAAACUCAAAUGAAUUGACGGGGGGCCCGCACAAGCGGGUGGAGCAUGUGGUUUAAUUCGAAGCAACGGCGAAGAACCUUACCUGGCCUUGACAUGCUGAGAACUUUCCAGAGAUGGAUUGGUGCCUUCGGGAACUCAGACACAGGUGCUGCAUGGCUGUCGUCAGCUCGUGUCGUGAGAUGUUGGGUUAAGUCCCGUAACGAGCGCAACCCUUGUCCUUAGUUACCAGCACCUCGGGUGGGCACUCUAAGGAGACUGCCGGUGACAAACCGGAGGAAGGUGGGGAUGACGUCAAGUCAUCAUGGCCCUUACGGCCAGGGCUACACACGUGCUACAAUGGUCGGUACAAAGGGUUGCCAAGCCGCGAGGUGGAGCUAAUCCCAUAAAACCGAUCGUAGUCCGGAUCGCAGUCUGCAACUCGACUGCGUGAAGUCGGAAUCGCUAGUAAUCGUGAAUCAGAAUGUCACGGUGAAUACGUUCCCGGGCCUUGUACACACCGCCCGUCACACCAUGGGAGUGGGUUGCUCCAGAAGUAGCUAGUCUAACCGCAAGGGGGACGGUUACCACGGAGUGAUUCAUGACUGGGGUGA